AUCACUGACUUCAAAAGCCUUACACUGGACUUCAAGUAGCUUGGAUUCUGUGCCUUUCCAGUUUUCCUCCACAUCUUGAUUUUUACAAAUGAAUUCAAAAUGUACUUUUAUCUGAAAAGAGAACUUUGGACCACUAAGCAACAAUCCGGUUAUUUUUCUCCUUUGCCCGGGCCCGAGCCUGCGUCGUCGGCUGAGUGACUUUGAUCUGGCAAUCAGCAAGGUGGAGAAAAAGAAGAUGAGGAAAAUGACAUUUUUAACAGCCUGCUUCGAUUUGAGGGAUGCAACUUGAGGCCCUUUGUUGCCAAGUUGCAGGUCAUCUCUGCUGACGCUUUUAAUUGAUUUUACUGCCGGCAGAAAAGAGCACAAUAGGCCGACUAGCACUCUAGAGAAAUCGAAUGUAAUAUAGUGCAAAUGUCCCUUCAAGAGCUUCAAUCAGAGAUGCCUCUCCUGUAGACGAACUGUACACGAUCAAUACCGAUCUUUCCUCAAAAGGGUCUCUGUUUCCCACACAAAUACACCAAACACAAUCCCAGACACAUGCUGACAUGUGAAACUAUUUCCUAAGGGCUAAAUUAGUGCAAUCGUACAGCUUGUCACAAGCAAUGUAUGUGAAAGUUGUCGGCUCACAUCCUGUCCAAGUUUUAAUGACAAGUUCUCAAAAGCAAAUUCAUAAAAAAGGGUUUAUGUUUCAUAUAAAGAUCAUCUUCAAAUAAAUAAGGAGCCUCAAAGAGGCACAGGAAAUAUUGUUUUCAUUAUUUGUUAUUGCACUGGAGCUAAUGCCAUUUGGGCAAGAGUGCUGGCAGUUUAGCUGGUGGACAAAUACUGCACAUAUUGCACUCACGAUUACUUAUCAGGAG